CCAGCGGGAGACUACAUCAUACGAAGCAGCCCUCCUGAGGGAAAACGGUGCUGAAGGUGCAGAAAUACAACCCCCUAACGCACCUCAAACUGAUCUGCCAGCAACCUCUUCAGACGCCCCUGAUACGAUCCGGAGAAGACGAUCCUUAAGAAAGAGGAAAAGACCCAGUCUCAUUACACUAAGUUCUACCCUCAAGAUAGUCCAGAGAGUGAUUCCGAAGCUCG